GCUUGCUUCGGCAGCAUAUACUAAAAUUGGAAUGAUGCAGAGAAGAUGAGCAUGGCCCCUGCUCAAGGAUAACACACACAUCCGUGAAGCGCCCUGUAUUUAA